GUGAGAGGACCCGGCGGUGCCCCCACCCGGUAGCCCUGGCGCACCUUCCCCGGUGCCAGGUCUGCCGGGUGGAGGCAUCGCCGGAAUCGAGAGCCGAA
rfam:Pseudonocardia sp. CNS-004 NODE_62_length_52106_cov_61.4194_ID_115, whole genome shotgun sequence.